AACGGAGGGGGCGAGUGUUAUUCAUAGUGAUUGGGCGUAAAGGGUACGUAGGUGGCUUUUCAAGCUUUCAAUGAAAAUUCCAUGGCGCAACCGUGGUUCUUGAAAGGACUGUAUUGCUUCGAAUCUAGUAGAGGUUAGUAGUACUUUUAGAGUAAAGGUGAUAAUUAUUGAUUCUAAGGGGACUCCCAAUGGCGAAGGCAACUAACCAGGCUAGAUUGACGCUAAGGUACGGAGGCAUGGGUAUCGAACAGG
rnacentral:rRNA from 1 species